CCCAACACAACCCCAUCUAUUAAAAAGUCAACACCAUUCACUUUUAGGCAUAUGUUGCAUCUUCUACCAUGAACAUGUCAGGCUAGAAACUUCGCACCUCUGCCUUAUACACCAUAUGGCUCUUAUUGGUGAACAAAUGUGUCCACUAUUAAAAUUCACAGAUAUCAACCAAUUGGAAUAUCCCUCUCAAGUCAAGAAUAUCACGGGCAAAUGUUCUUCCUCAGAACACCUUUUGGUUUAUCAGAUUUUCUCUUCUUUCAUCCCUAGCCACACCCACAUUGGCCUUUUUGGAGGAACCUGAUUCCUUAUUGACACCAGCCUUCCUUUUCAUAGAUUUUCUCACACUUUUCCCUUUCUCUGCAGAUUUCUCAGACAAUUUCUCAAACACCUUUUCACUAGAUUUUUCAAACACUUUCAGCUACCUUCUCAUCAGACUUUUCUACCUCAACAUUACUAGUUUCCAUCAUUCUUACAGAUGACUCUUUCCUAGGUCUUGGAACUGUAGGUUUCUUAGAGGACUUAUGAAUUAAGGAACCAGGUUCCUCGGUCACUUCGUCAUCAACAUCAAUAACAUGUGUUGGAGGCACUACAUGUUCAUUAACCGCCUUUCCACACUUUACUAACCUCUUAUUCUUCUUCUCUUCUUUAAUUUUUUCAGAACUGAUUCAAGAGUUUCUUUCUGUAGCCUGAUAGUAUGUCUUUUAGGAGUGGACUCUUUAGGAGUUUCCUUUCUACUCCUAGCGCCAAUAAAGCUUGCAAUAGGCAAAUUUUCAUAGUCCUCGUCAUUCGUCUCAUUUCCUUCCUCAGAAGAAUAUCUCAUUUCAAGAAAGACCAUAUUUAACGGCUCAACAUAGAAGUUAGGAGAGGGGUAGGAUCAAUACUAAACUGGGGCCCUUUUGAAGAAUAUAG
rnacentral:lncRNA from 1 species